AACGAACGCUGGCGGCAUGCCUAACACAUGCAAGUCGAACGAGACCUUCGGGUCUAGUGGCGCACGGGUGCGUAACGCGUGGGAACCUGCCCUUAGGUUCGGAAUAACUCCCCGAAAGGGGUGCUAAUACCGGAUAAUGUCUUCGGACCAAAGAUUUAUCGCCUUUGGAUGGGCCCGCGUUGGAUUAGCUAGUUGGUAGGGUAAAAGCCUACCAAGGCGACGAUCCAUAGCUGGUCUGAGAGGAUGAUCAGCUACACUGGGACUGAGACACGGCCCAGACUCCUACGGGAGGCAGCAGUGGGGAAUAUUGGACAAUGGGCGAAAGCCUGAUCCAGCAAUGCCGCGUGAGUGAUGAAGGCCUUAGGGUUGUAAAGCUCUUUUACCCGGGAUGAUAAUGACAGUACCGGGAGAAUAAGCUCCGGCUACCUCCGUG
rnacentral:rRNA from 1 species